rnacentral:lncRNA from 1 species
GGGGGCCCCACGCCACUUGCAGUUUUGGGAGCUUGGCUGGGGAUUUUCGGAGGAACCGGGUCUCCAGGCGCUUUCAGGGAGCUGCAGAAGUUGUUCUGGCUCCUACUGAGUUAUUUACUGUCCGGGAAGAGCAAUUCCGGGCACAAUGUCCUGCUGCCUCUGCUCCGACCUGCUCAGCUGCAUAGGAUGAUGUGAAACUGAGUGUUAAUGAUACCCCCAAAAGAAAAAGAGGAUUUCCUCUAAAAAAAAAGAGACACCGCAAGGACUUUGGUACUGAAUUAUACAAGCUGGUGAAGAAAAAAGGAAGUCCUGCUGCAGCAGUAGGUCAGCGUCAUAGAUGGGUAUGCUUUUUUCGGUCUCGGUGAUCAUACAUUAAUUUGGAGUGUGACUGUGGUGGUGUAAGCCUUAUCAUUAUGUGAUUAUUUUACCAGGGCACCUGUGAAACCAUAAACCAGGACCUUGUUGUGUUCAGGGAUGUGCAGAGAAUAAAGAACGAAUGCCCACCCGUGCCAAGCAAACCCAACUCAUGAUGCUUGGGUCUUCUUGUGAUUCCUUUAAAGGCUGGGAUCCUCAGGGCCAUCUCUGUCCCAGGGAUCCCCUGGGAUCCUCAGGGACAUCUCUGCACUAGGACUUGCAGUGAGUCCAGGCACCAGCAGCAG